UACAGAGGGGGCUAGCGUUAUCCGGAAUUAUUGGGCGUAAAGGGCUCGUAGGCGGCCAUGCGUGUCUUCCGUGAAAUCCCUCGGCUUAACUGAGGACGUGCGGAAGAAACUGCAAGGCUCGAGCCCGGGAGAGGGGGGUGGAAUUCCCAGUGUAGCGGUGAAAUGCGUAGAUAUUGGGAGGAACACCGGUGGCGAAGGCGGCCCCCUGGACCGGUACUGACGCUGAGGCGCGAAAGCGUGGGUAGCAAACGGG
rnacentral:rRNA from 1 species